rnacentral:lncRNA from 1 species
UUCUGCAUAAGCAGCCCCGAGAAGUGUGUCUCUGUUUGCUAGAGCUUGGUCGGAUUGCAGCCAGUUCUACCCUGAGCAGCUUGAAGAAUUCAAAGGCCAAAUUAAGCACAGGAUUCUGGGCUCAGUGCUGACUUUCUGUGUCAGUGGCACAGCCUGUUUGCAGAUCUCUCAGGUAUGGUGUGGAGCCUCCUGGUCUGAUAAAGCUGGAAAAAGAAAUUGAACAAGAAGAGACACUUUCUGCCCCAUCUCCUUCGCCUUCUCCUUCAUCAAAGUCUUCAGGGAAGAAGAGUACUGGAAACC